UGUGUUGCUCCUGGGAGAGCUGGAAAACAGGCAGGACAGCACCCUACACCGAGGAGAAUUUCAUGGCUAAGGAAGAACCAAUCGUAGCCUCGAGGCAGAAGAGAAGUCGGCAAGAGGAUGACAGGAUGAACCCGGGGGAGCUAUAAGUUGGCAGUCCUGUCAGAUGAGCCUCUCCCCUCACCCAAUCACAGGAGAUUACAACACAAAAGUACAUUAUCCUACACCUCCUCCUCACAUCACCUGAGGCCAUGGUGCCAUGCAGUUGCUCCAAGAGUUGUUCUCUCAGUCCCGCACAUCUUCUCCGUCUGUCUUAAGACUUUUAUGAACGUCUUACUUUGCCUCUCCUCAAACAUCUAAUUGUUGCCUCCUCCUUCUAUCCUGUGCUGACAGCCUCAAUGAGGUAGGUCCAACGGCAGACAUCUGAAAAAUGCACUCGGACAAUUAUUAGAACAGCAUGUCGUCGCAGACACAUUCGGUAGAAAAGGAAAUAACAUCGCAACAUGUGUUUAGAGUUUCAACACUUGGCACUCAAGCAGACAGGAUGAGAUGCGGACGCUUGGAUCGUGUGCGUUUGUGUGAGAGGGAAAGAGAGAGACAACCAUGUAUAUGAAAAACCAAACUAAUUGGAUCACACGUACACUUGGAUAAAAAUGUUGAUGGACUGUUUUUUUUUUCCAUCAAAAUAUUGGGAACCUGUAACAAGUGCGUCAAGAUGUUGGCUCAUGCCUCACUUGCUAAUUCCAUCCAAAACAUCUGUAACCUACAUCAAGUUAAACGAUCCACGCCACACAGAGCCAAUA